GCGGACCCGGCCGCCUAGUCACCAGGCCGAGGGAUGUAACCCGGGAGCCCCACAUAGCCCGGCCGCGCGAACGGCCCGAGCGCUACCCGCUAAUAGCUGCCCGGGAGUGGGGGCCCCUCCGCCCGUCCUCGGCGGGGCGCGUCCUCCAGCGAAGGUGACCCAAGGAAGGCGUCCCUCCCGCUCCCGGGAACGCCCGCUCCUGGAACCCCACUGCGAUGGACUCGCAGUCUGGGCCUGAAGGUUUGCCUUGAUGACUCGGGCCUGAGAUCCAGGAUGGUUUGUUCUUGGGACCAGACAUGACCAAAAGUUGACCUCAUGACCACGUCAACCUCUCCAGCUGCCAUGCUUCUCCGGAGGCUUCGGCGACUUUCCUGGGGCAGCACCGCUGUGCAGCUCUUCAUUCUAACUGUGGUGACAUUUGGCUUACUGGCCCCUCUGGCCUGCCACCGACUCCUCCACUCAUACUUCUAUCUGCGCCACUGGCAUCUAAACCAGAUGAGUCAAGAUUUCCUGCAGCAGAGCCUGAAGGAGGGCGAGGCUGCCCUUCACUACUUUGAAGAGCUGCCCUCUGCCAAUGGUUCCGUGCCCAUCGUCUGGCAGGCCACUCCCCGCCCCUGGCUGGUGAUCACCAUAAUCACUGUGGAUAGGCAGCCUGGCUUCCAUUAUGUCCUACAGGUAGUGUCC
rnacentral:lncRNA from 1 species